GAUGAACGCUGGCGGCGUGCUUAACACAUGCAAGUCGAACGGAAAGGCCCAAGCUUGCUUGGGUACUCGAGUGGCGAACGGGUGAGUAACACGUGGGUGAUCUGCCCUGCACUUCGGGAUAAGCCUGGGAAACUGGGUCUAAUACCGGAUAGGACCACAUUUUGGAUGGUGUGGUGGAAAGUUUUUCGGUGUGGGAUGAGCUCGCGGCCUAUCAGCUUGUUGGUGGGGUAAUGGCCUACCAAGGCGUCGACGGGUAGCCGGCCUGAGAGGGUGUACGGCCACAUUGGGACUGAGAUACGGCCCAGACUCCUACGGGAGGCAGCAGUGGGGAAUAUUGCACAAUGGGCGCAAGCCUGAUGCAGCGACGCCGCGUGGGGGAUGACGGCCUUCGGGUUGUAAACUCCUUUCGCUAGGGACGAAGCGUGUUUGUGACGGUACCUGGAGAAGAAGCACCGGCUAACUACGUG
rnacentral:rRNA from 1 species